GUCAGGUCGCCGUGGCCGUUAGAGCGAAGCAAGGGAAAGAGGGGCGGCGUGCUGUACGUGCGCUGGUGGCGUAGCGAAGCGGUCAGUUCAGGGGUUCAAAGAGGAGAAAACAUGGCGGAUAACAAAGGAGGAGGUGGCGGUGGGGGAGAGACCGAGGGGGACGCGAGCAGCAAUAAUAACAACAACAGCAAUGGCGCCGGGCAGACCGGCAGUUCUGGUGACACAGAGAGUCAAACAGUAGAGGAGCCGGAGAGUGUUGAGAAGGCCCCAGCUACUGCGGUCCCUACAGAUGCCCCGUCUGAGGAAAACCCUGCCCCGUCCUCUUCGUCAGUGGCCUCAUCUUCUGCUGCUCCAGCACCAACAUCAUCAUCUUCUCCUCUAGUGGUGAACUUACUGGAUACGUGCGCUGUGUGUAAGCUGAGCCUGCAAAGCCGGGACUCUGAGCCAAAGCUCCUGCCAUGUUUGCACUCGUUCUGUCGCCGCUGUCUGCCGGAGCCCGAGAGGCAGCUCAGUGUUCCCCUACCUGGUGGUACUAAUGGAGACAUCCAGCAAGUUGGUGUAAUAAGGUGCCCAGUAUGCAGACAAGAAUGCAGGCAGAUUGAUCUAGUGGAUAACUAUUUUGUAAAAGACACUUCAGAAGUACCAAGCAGCACAGAUGAAAAGUCUGAACAGGUUUGUACAAGUUGUGAAGAUAAUGCAAGUGCGGUUGGGUUUUGUGUGGAAUGUGGAGAAUGGCUCUGCAAGACAUGCAUAGAAGCCCAUCAAAGGGUUAAAUUCACAAAAGACCACAUAAUAACGAAGAAAGAAGAUGUAUCCUCAGAAUCAGUGGGAGCUUCAGGUCAACGUCCAGUUUUUUGUCCGGUUCACAAACAAGAGCAACUCAAACUAUUUUGCGAAACGUGUGAUAGACUGACAUGCAGAGACUGUCAGUUACUAGAGCACAAGGAACACAGGUAUCAGUUUCUGGAAGAGGCUUUUCAAAACCAGAAAGGUGCUAUUGAAAACUUACUUGCCAAGCUUCUAGAAAAGAAGAACUAUGUACAUUUUGCUGCUACUCAGGUUCAAAACAGGAUAAAAGAAGUAAAUGAAACCAAUAAACGCGUGGAACAGGAAAUUAAAGUGGCAAUUUUCACUUUAAUAAAUGAAAUUAAUAAGAAGGGCAAAUCUCUUCUGCAGCAGUUGGAGAGUGUUACAAAAGAACGGCAGAUUAAACUUGUACAGCAGCAAAAUGAUAUCACUGGUCUCUCACGGCAAAUAAAGCAUGUCAUGACCUUCACUAACUGGGCUAUUGCAAGUGGCAGCAGCACAGCCUUACUGUACAGCAAACGCUUGAUCACUUUUCAGUUACGUCAUAUCUUAAAGGCACGUUGUGACCCUGUCCCAGCAGCCAAUGGGGCAGUAAGAUUUCAUUGUGACCCAACUUUUUGGGCAAAGAAUGUUGUAAAUUUAGGUAACCUUGUAAUCGAAAAUAAGCCAACUGCUGGUUUUACUCCUAAUGUCGUAGUUGGGCAAGUUCCCCAAGGAGUUAACCAUGUAAACAAACCACCCGCACAAAUUAAUUUAGCUCAGCUCCGACUCCAGCAUAUGCAGCAGCAGGUGUAUGCUCAAAAACAGCAGCAACUUCAAAUGAGGAUGGUCCAGCCACCUGUCCAGCAUCAGAGACCACCUGCACCUCAAGUAAUGCAUCAACAGCCUCCAAGGUUAAUAAGCAUGCAGAAUAUGCCAAGGAAUAAUAUGAACUGUGGCCCAUUUCAAGCACAUCAAAUGAGAAUGGCACAAAAUGCAGCCCAGAAUGCUUCCAGGAUGCCUGGUAUCCCUCGUCAUAAUGGACCCCAAUACUCAAUGAUGCAGCCUCAUCUCCAAAGACAACAGCAUUCGAACCCAGGGCAUGCUGGACCAUUCCCAGUUGUUUCAGUACACAACAACACAAUCAAUCCAACUAGUCCUACAACCGCAACAAUGGCAAAUGCAAAUCGUGGACCAACCAGCCCAUCUGUUACAUCUAUAGAACUUAUACCAUCAGUAACAAACCCAGAAAAUCUUCCCUCUCUUCCAGACAUUCCACCAAUUCAGCUGGAAGAUGCAGGCUCUAGCACCUUAGACAAUCUAUUGAGUAGAUAUAUUUCAAUGGGACAUCAGCUACCACAACCAACAAGCACUAUGAAUCCCUCCCCUGCUCCUUCUGCAAUGUCUCCGGGAUCUACAGAUGCACUUGAAAUGUGUUCCCACUUGCCAUGUACACGGUGAUGCUAAGAAUCUGUACUGUUCCUGUUCUCAGGCUUGUCCAAUUCACACACACCAGUGAGGCCUCCCAGUACAUCAAGUACAGGCAGUAGAGGAAGCUGUGGUUCAAGUGGACGAACAAUUGAAAGAAACUCUGCCUUUAAAUCUGAAUCUGUCAAGGUUAAACAAGAACCUGGAACAGAGGAGGAUGUGUGUAGUUUCUCAGGACCAGUAAAGCAGGAAAAGGCUGAAGAUGGCAGGAGGAGUGCAUGCAUGCUGAGCAGCCCAGAAAGCAGUCUGACACCUCCACUCACCACCAAUGUGCACCUUGAAACUGAUCUGGAGUCACUGGCCGCUUUGGAAAAUCACGUGAAAACCGAACCAAACAGCACAAGCCAAAGCUGCAAACAGUCAUCUCAUGUUGGCCUUGUAAAUGGGAAAUCCCCUGUACGGAGUUCAAUGCACCGGUCACCUAGAGGAAAUGGUGGUGAUGGUUCUAACAAAGAUGAUGACCCCAAUGAGGAUUGGUGUGCAGUGUGCCAAAAUGGAGGAGACCUCUUAUGUUGUGAAAAGUGCCCUAAAGUUUUUCACCUUACUUGUCAUGUACCCACGCUGCUUAGUUUUCCCAGUGGUGAAUGGAUUUGUACGUUCUGCAGAGAUCUGAAUAAACCUGAAGUUGAGUAUGACUGUGAUAAUUCUCAGCACAGUAAGAAAGGGAAAACUGUGCAAGGCUUAAGUCCUGUAGACCAAAUGAAAUGUGAGCGGCUUCUACUUUAUCUCUACUGUCAUGAACUGAGCAUUGAAUUUCAGGAGCCUGUGCCAGCAUCGAUACCAAAUUACUACAAAAUAAUUAAGAAGCCAAUGGAUCUUUCUACUGUGAAAAAGAAGCUACAGAAGAAACAUUCACAACACUAUCAAACGCCAGAAGAUUUUGUUGCAGAUGUCAGGCUAAUAUUUAAGAACUGCGAAAGGUUCAAUGAAAUGAUGAAAGUUGUUCAAGUUUAUGCAGAAACACAAGAAAUUAAUCUACAGAAUGACUCAGAAGUUGCCCAAGCAGGGAAGGCUGUUGCAAUAUAUUUUGAGGACAAACUUCCUGAAAUCUACCCGGACAGGACCUUCCAGCCGUUGCCAGAGUUUGAACCAGAGGAUGAUGAUGGAGAUGUAACAGAGGAUUCAGAUGACGAUGAUUUUGUUCAACCUCGUAGAAAACGACUGAAGUCAGACGAGAGACCGGUGCAUAUAAAGUGAUAAGAGCACGGAACUCUAAAGAUUUUGUGUAGAGACUAAACAAAUUUAAAAAGAACUUAUUUAAAUGUUUCCGGAAUAUCAUCACUCCUGCAUCAGCCAUCUUCAUGAAGAAUUUGGCAGCUUUUAGACAGUAUUAGAUCAACAAAUAUUUGUACAGAUAAAGAGCAAUCUUUCAAGAAAAGAAUUGGGGAAAUUUGUCACUUUUUUUUUUUUUUAGGACUGAUGGACUCCUGACCUGGGGAGCAAUUCUUGUGUUUUCUCAAUUAGGACUUUGUGAAUGUUAAAGACAGUCUUUGUUUUUGUUUUGUUUUUUUUCUCCCCCCCAGCAGUUCUUUGUACAGAUGUAUAAGUGAACUCGGUGAUUGUGUUUCUUGUUGAUCUUUCUUUGUUGAACAUUGGACCAUUACCUUCAGUUUACUGUAAUAUAUUUCCUUUCCCUGCCAAUGAACUGCUCUAAGCUUGAUGGCAAAAAUGGUACAUUAAGUGUACUUUGAAAUGGCUUCAUCAUUCUUCUUUACAGCGUUUUUUUUUAAUUAUUUUUGAGCUUUUACAUUUCUUGAUUGAUUAUCGGGAUUGGAUUGUCCUUCAAGACUUUGAAAUAUAUUUAUAUAUUUUGUGAAGGAAUCGGUUUAUCAUGGUCAAAACUAUAGUAACUUGCUUUGUAAAUAGAAGGAAGCUUCUCUGUGUUCAUAUAUUCAUUAUGCAUUAAUUUGGGCAACAGGUUGUCAACUUUUACUGUUGUCUUGCAUCUGACAUGAGGAAAAAUAAAUGAAUAUCUGGUUAAA